UACAGAGGGUGCAAGCGUUGUUCGGAAUUAUUGGGCGUAAAGCGCGUGUAGGCGGCUUUGCAAGUCGGGUGUGAAAGCCCUCAGCUCAACUGAGGAAGUGCGCCCGAAACUGCAGAGCUUGAGUACCGGAGAGGAUGGUGGAAUUCCCCAAGUAGAGGUGAAAUUCGUAGAUAUGGGGAGGAACACCGGUGGCGAAGGCGACCAUCUGGACGGAUACUGACGCUGAGGAACGAAAGCUAGGGUAGCGAACGGG
rnacentral:rRNA from 1 species